GACGAACGCUGGCGGCGUGCUUAACACAUGCAAGUCGAACGGAAAGGCCCUGCUUUUGUGGGGUGCUCGAGUGGCGAACGGGUGAGUAACACGUGAGUAACCUGCCCUUGACUUUGGGAUAACUUCAGGAAACUGGGGCUCAUACCGGAUAGGAGCUCCUGCUGCAUGGUGGGGGAUGGAAAGUUUCGGCGGUUGGGGAUGGACUGGCGGCUUAUCAGCUUGUUGGGGGGGUAGUGGCUUACCAAGGCUUUGACGGGUAGCCGGCCUGAGAGGGUGACCGGCCACAUUGGGACUGAGAUACGGCCCAGACUCCUACGGGAGGCAGCAGUGGGGAAUAUUGCACAAUGGGCGGAAGCCUGAUGCAGCAACGCCGCGUGCGGGAUGACGGCCUUCGGGUUGUAAACCGCUUUCGCCUGUGACGAAGCGUGAGUGACGGUAAUGGGUAAAGAAGCACCGGCUAACUACGUG
rnacentral:rRNA from 1 species